UCGGGUCAUGGACUCAAGUUACUCUUAUCACAUAUGUCCAAGAAAAAAAAUACUUUGAGACUUUUGAAGAUGGAGCAAGGUGGACUAAUUCUCCUUUGUGACAAUAAUACUUGCAAGGUUUAUGGUAUUGACACAAUUAUAUUUGAAAUGUUUAAUGAUCGUGAGUUUCUUCUUCACAACGUGAGGUAUGUUCUAGAAAUCAAGCAAAGUUUAUUAUACAUAAGCAUGCUUGAUGAUCUAGAAUAUUUCACUAGUGUUGAACAUGGGGUG
rnacentral:lncRNA from 1 species